ACUGCCCCUACUCUUUAGAAGCUUUGUAGGUAUUGGCUGUUGUAUCACAUGUGUGUCAGUAGAUGGCAUAUAGGAAAGAGGCUAUGUCUAUAAGAGUUUCGACUUAUAAACAUCUGAAUAAUUAGUAGUUUGGGAAA